rnacentral:rRNA from 1 species
UGGGGAAUAUUGCACAAUGGGCGCAAGCCUGAUGCAGCCAUGCUGCGUGUGUGAAGAAGGCCGUUGGGUUGUAAAGCACUUUCAGCGGGGAGGAAGGCGUUAAGGUUAAUAACCUUGGCGAUUGACGUUACCCGCAGAAGAAGCACCGGCUAACUCCGUGCCAGCAGCCGCGGUAAUACGGAGGGUGCAAGCGUUAAUCGGAAUUACUGGGCGUAAAGCGCACGCAGGCGGUCUGUCAAGUCGGAUAUGAACUCCCCGGGCUCAACCUGAGAACUGUGUUCGAAACUGGCAGGCUAGAGUCUUGUAGAGGGGUGUAGAAUUCCAGGUGUAGCGGUGAAAUGCGUAACGCACUGGGGGAAUACCUGUGGCGAAGGCGGCCCCCUGGACAAAGACUGACGCUCAGGUGCGAAGGCGUGGGGAGCAAACAGG